rfam:Schistosoma mattheei strain Denwood, Zambia genome assembly, scaffold: SMTD_scaffold0005989
AUCCAGCUGAUGACUCUCAGAUAGGACGAAACGCGCGUCACACUGGAU